rnacentral:rRNA from 1 species
GCAAGUGCGGGGACGUGUGGGGGGGAAAGAGGAAGGGGGGAGGCGGUGAUGGGAAUUAGUGGGUGUAAGGCGGGCGGAGGGGGUGCGGUAAGUCUGCUGUGAAAUCCCCGGGCUGAACCUGGGAAUGGCAGUGGAUACUGGAGAGCUAGGGUGUGAUAGAGGAUGGUGGAAUGCCCGGUGUAGCGGUGAAAUGCGUAGAGAUCGGGAGGAACAUCAGUGGCGAAGGCGGCCAUCUGGAUCAACACUGACGCUGAGGCACGAAAGCGUGGGGAGCAAACAGGAUUAGAUACCCUUGUAGUC